CCUACGGGUGGCAGCAGUCGAGAAUCAUUCACAAUGGGGGAAACUCUGAUGGUGCGACGCCGCGUGGGGGUAUGAAGGUCUUCGGAUUGUAAACCCCUGUCAUGUGGGAGCAAAUUAAAAAGAUAGUACCACAAGAGGAAGAGACGGCUAACUCUGUGCCAGCAGCCGCGGUAAUACAGAGGUCUCAAGCGUUGUUCGGAAUCACUGGGCGUAAAGCGUGCGUAGGCUGUUUCGUAAGUCGUGUGUGAAAGGCGUGGGCUCAACCCGCGGACGGCACAUGAUACUGCGAGACUAGAGUAAUGGAGGGGGAACCGGAAUUCUCGGUGUAGCAGUGAAAUGCGUAGAUAUCGAGAGGAACACUCGUGGCGAAGGCGGGUUCCUGGACAUUAACUGACGCUGAGGCACGAAGGCCAGGGGAGCGAAAGGGAUUAGAUACCCGGGUAGUC
rnacentral:rRNA from 1 species